rnacentral:rRNA from 1 species
CAGUCGCCACGGUAAUACAGAGGGUGCGAGCGUUAAUCGGAUUUACUGGGCGUAAAGCGUGCGUAGGCGGAUUCUUAAGUCGGAUGUGAAAUCCCUGAGCUUAACUUAGGAAUUGCAUUCGAUACUGGGAAGCUAGAGUAUGGGAGAGGAUGGUAGAAUUCCAGGUGUAGCGGUGAAAUGCGUAGAGAUCUGGAGGAAUACCGAUGGCGAAGGCAGCCAUCUGGCCUAAUACUGACGCUGAGGUACGAAAGCAUGGGGAGCAAACAGGAUUAGAUACCCGCGUAGUCCCUGUCUCUUAUAC